GCACAAGUUUAAUCGCCAAAGUGCCAGUGUAGACACCACUCUUGAUUUUAUUGCUGUAAUUGGCCCCCAGAAGGUGUCCCACAAUGUCCGUCAUGACUGCUCUGGUCAACCGUUCCAACUCUGCUGCCCUGAAGCCAGCUGACCAUGGUGGCUCCAUGCAGCAAAUGCUCUCCUGCUUGGACUAAUGGGGAGCUGAUGGAUCUGCUCAGUAUUUGGGAAGAGGAGGCUGUGCAGUCCCAGCUGCGCUCCAGCCAUAGGAAUUUUGAUACUUAGGGGCAGAUUUCUCAAAACUUGCGCGAAAAGGACUAUGACUGGCACACACUGCAGUGCACAGCAAAGAUCAAGGAGCUGAGGCAGGUGCAUCAGAAGGCAAGGAAAGCAAACCAUUUUUAUAAGGAGUUGGACGCUAUCCUUGGCUGCGAUCCCACCUCCACCGCCAAGAACCCUGUGGAUACUUUGGCGCGGCUGGAGCGGGCAGAAGGUGGACCUAGCUCUGAGGAUGAAGUCAUUGACAAAGAGGUGGAGGAGGAUGACAAUGUGGAGACCAUGGCAGGAUUGCCUGGUGGUUCAUCCAAUCAGGAGCUGUUCUCCACCCCGGAGGUGUCUAGCCAGUCUCGGCAGUUGCAAUCCAGCGAGCAAGAAGCAGGAGAGGAGACCGAUGUGGCCUUGAAAGGGCCCCUACACACUGGCGGAGUGCCUCCACUGGAUAAGACAGUGCCCAAGAUGGAGCAAGGAUGACAUGUUCCAGUAGGUGAUGCAAUACUUGGAUGCCAAAAACAGGGAACGUAGACACUGGAGGGAAAUCAAAAGGCAGGACAGAGAAGAAAAUGAGGCCUAUGCUAGGGACCCAACAGAGAGGAUGAUUAAAGUUAUGGAGAAGCAAACUGAGAAGCUACAGUCUCUCAUAACACUCCAAACUGAGCAGAUGCAUGCCCGCCCUCCCCUUCAGCACAUUCAAAACUCUUUCCCAUGUCCUCCCCAAACUCCACCCACAAAUUCCUUUCCGCUGUCUGGGACUUCUCACUACCUCAUUCACUCCACCUCCACAAAUGAUAGCUGGACUUACGCACGGUUCUGAAAGUCGGCCCUCCCCUGGUACCUCCUCUUCCCACAAGCAUUUUUCUGUGUGUG